rnacentral:rRNA from 1 species
AGUAUUUUAAUUACAUAAUACUCGCCCGGGUACUACAAGCACUAGCUUAAAACCCAAAGGACUUGGCGGUGCUUUACACCCACCUAGAGGAGCCUGUUCUAUAACUGAUAACCCCCGUUAAACCUCACCCUAUUUUGCCUAAUCAAUUUAUAUACCGCCGUCGUCAGCUUACCUUGUGAAAGAACAACAGUGAGCAAAACUAGUUAUAACCCAAAACGUCAGGUCGAGGUGUAGUUUAUGAUAGGGAAAGAAAUGGGCUACACUCAUUCAUUAAUGAAUACGGAUAGUAUAUUGAAACAUAAACUUGAAGGAGGAUUUAGCAGUAAGAAGAAAAUAGAGUGUUC